rnacentral:rRNA from 1 species
AUUAAACGCUGGCGGCAUGCCUUACACAUGCAAGUCGAACGGCAGCACGGGGGCAACCCUGGUGGCGAGUGGCGGACGGGUGAGUAAUGCAUCGGAACGUGCCCUGAAGUGGGGGAUAACGCAGCGAAAGCUACGCUAAUACCGCAUAUUCUGUGAGCAGGAAAGCAGGGGAUCGCAAGACCUUGCGCUUUGGGAGCGGCCGAUGUCGGAUUAGCUAGUUGGUGGGGUAAAGGCCUACCAAGGCGACGAUCCGUAGCGGGUCUGAGAGGAUGAUCCGCCACACUGGAACUGAGACACGGUCCAGACUCCUACGGGAGGCAGCAGUGGGGAAUUUUGGACAAUGGGGGCAACCCUGAUCCAGCCAUGCCGCGUGAGUGAAGAAGGCCUCGGUUGUAAAGACGUCUUUCGGUCCCGGGAAGAAAGUACGCAUGGUUAAUACCUGUGCGGAUGACGGUA